UCGAACUGGAUGUUCUCGGGCAGUGAGCGGAUGUCGCGGCGCCGGGCCCGUCCGUAACUAUCCACCACAGCCGAGAUCGCUGUGUUAUAGAGCGUCUCGGGCACCCACUCCAGCUCCACGGCCGCCAUCUUGGGUGUGCGGAGCCGCCUUUCCCCCCUCCCCUCCCCUCAGCUGCCCGCUCCACCUCCCGCGCCUAACGCCCCGCGGCGCCCGCUGCCCUGGCCGGUGGAGGAGACGCGGCUACGGCUGGAGAGGUGUGUUGGCAGUUCCACAUAAGCAUUAUUUGGGAGCCUGACAUUUGAGGGAGUUUGCUAACAUACCUGAAGUACACGUCUCAUCCAGUGUUCCUCGUUGGCUGCCAUAUGGUUUUUUCCCCUUUUCCUUUGUCUUUUUUAUAAAGGGAAGCAUUUGAAGGACAUUUACAAAUACUGCCUGUGUCUGAAAGCAAAAUGGAAUAUAGUUCCAGAAAGCCUGGAUGAAAAAGACUUGAAUCUGUUUCAUAUGCUGCCAGUGCAAGACUUUUAUUAAAGUGGGAAGGAAGUGGACUGACAUGGAUAACAUACGAACCUACUAUAUCUCCU